rnacentral:rRNA from 1 species
AUGAAACGCUGCGGCAGGCCUAACACAUGCAAGUGAGCGGCGGCACAGAGAAACUUUGUUUUCGGGUGGCGAGCGGCGGACGGGUGAGUAAAUGCCUGGGAAAAUUGCCCUGAUGUGGGGGAUACCAUUGGAAACGAUGGCUAAUACCGCAUGAUGCCUACGGGCCAAAGAGGGGGACCUUCGGGCCUCUCGCGUCAGGAUAUGCCCAGGUGGGAUUAGCUAGUUGGUGAGGUAAGGGCUCACCAAGGCGACGAUCCCUAGCUGGUCUGAGAGGAUGAUCAGCCACACUGGAACUGAGACACGGUCCAGACUCCUACGGGAGGCAGCAGUGGGGAAUAUUGCACAAUGGGCGCAAGCCUGAUGCAGCCAUGCCGCGUGUGUGAAGAAGGCCUUCGGGUUGUAAAGCACUUUCAGUUGUGAGGAAGGUGGUGUCGUUAAUAGCGGCAUCAUUUGACGUUAGCAACAGAAGAAGCACCGGCUAACUCCGUGCCAGCAGCCGCGGUAAUACGGAGGGUGCGAGCGUUAAUCGGAAUUACUGGGCGUAAAGCGCAUGCAGGUGGUUUGUUAAGUCAGAUGUGAAAGCCCGGGGCUCAACCUCGGAACUGCAUUUGAAACUGGCAGACUAGAGUACUGUAGAGGGGGGUAGAAUUUCAGGUGUAGCGGUGAAAUGCGUAGAGAUCUGAAGGAAUACCGGUGGCGAAGGCGGCCCCCUGGACAGAUACUGACACUCAGAUGCGAAAGCGUGGGGAGCAAACAGG